rnacentral:rRNA from 1 species
CUUCACUAUACCUUAACAUUGAUUUUGAGUAAAAGAUGUGUAGAAUAGGCGGGAGGCUUUGAAGUGGUGGCGCUAGCCAUCAUGGAGCCAUCGUUGAAAUACCGCCCUUCUUUUACUUAGACUCUAACUCCCAACACGGGAGAACAGUGUUAGGCGGGUAGUUUGACUGGGGUGGUCGCCUCCUAAAAAGUAACGGAGGCUUUCAAAGGUACCCUCAGCACGGUUGGUAAUCGUGCGUAGAGUGCAUUAGCAUAAGGGUGCUUGACUGCAAGACCGACAAGUCGAGCAGGUGCGAAAGCAGGAUAAAGUGAUCCGGUGGUUCCGCAUGGAAGGGCCAUCGCUCAAAGGAUAAAAGGUA